rnacentral:rRNA from 1 species
GAUGAACGCUGGCGGCGUGCCUAAUACAUGCAAGUAGAACGCUGAAGGAGGAGCUUGCUCUUCUGGAUGAGUUGCGAACGGGUGAGUAACGCGUAGGUAACCUGCCUGGUAGCGGGGGAUAACUAUUGGAAACGAUAGCUAAUACCGCAUGACAACAGUUAUUGCAUGAUAACUGUUUAAAAGGGGCAACUGCUCCACUACCAGAUGGACCUGCGUUGUAUUAGCUAGUUGGUGAGGUAACGGCUCACCAAGGCGACGAUACAUAGCCGACCUGAGAGGGUGAUCGGCCACACUGGGACUGAGACACGGCCCAGACUCCUACGGGAGGCAGCAGUAGGGAAUCUUCGGCAAUGGACGGAAGUCUGACCGGGCAACGCCGCGGGAGUGAAGAAGGUUUUCGGAUCGUAAAGCUCUGUUGUAAGAGAAGAACGAGUGUGAGAGUGGAAAGUUCACACUGUGACGGUAUCUUACCAGAAAGGGACGGCUAACUACGUG